CUUAGGAAACGUCCAUAAACAUGAAGGAGAAGGCAUUGUCAGGCAGGGACUUUUCACUUCCUCCAAUUCAGGCUGCUCUGUUUUGUUCUGAACAGUGAGUUCUUCCAUGAGAGUCAUCUGGAAUCCAGACAUGCAGUGACUUAAGUGACAAUCCAAACCACCAGAAUCCAGAUGUCUUCUCUAUGAUCAAACACAGCUCCUUCCAGAGAGAAAGGGAAAAUAUCGCAAAACAUCUAGAUGCCGUCGAAGGAUUUUCAUCUAAUAAAAAAAAUGUAAAAUUGAAUUUGUAUUUUGCAUAUGCACACUGACUGCUCUACUCAUAGCCUGUGUAACCUCCCACAAUUAGAAUGUGAUAGGGCUCUUAUGUUGAGGCUAUUUAAUUCUUUCCAAGUGGGUAUACUACAUUCCAGUUAAAUUGUGUCUCUAAUGUACAGAGAAAAAAAAAAAAAUCAAAGACCUGGUAUCCUGGUGGUAGUAACAUGCUAUGCUUAAGUUUUCAGCUUUAAUUUUCACUGGAAGUUUCUGGGUAUUGUAAACCAUACACAAUCCUGUAUUAAAUUGUCUUGGUAGGCCUCACAACAGAGGUUACUUGCAAUAUUGUAUGUCCAACUGUGCUUUCACAUUACAUCUAUGUUCCAAAAACCAGAAAUCAGUUCAAAAUGAGUUUGUGACUUUCAGUGCAAAAUAAUAAACUCUUUUUACACAACUGA